GUCGGGCAUGGUGGUGCGUGCCUGUAGUCCCAGCUACUCAGGAGGCUGAGGCAGAAGAAUUGCUUGCACUUGGGAGGCGGAGGUUGCAGUGAGCCAAGAUCAUGCUACUGCACUCCAGCCUAGGUGACAGAGCAAGACUCUGUCUCAA
rnacentral:SRP_RNA from 1 species